rnacentral:rRNA from 1 species
GUCUUUUUAUAAAAAUAUAAAGUCCAAUCUGCUCACUGAAUAUUUAAAGAGCCGCAGUAUCUUGACUGUGCAAAGGUAGCAUAAUCAGUAGUUUUUUAAUUGAAAACUUGUAUGAAAGAUUAGACAAGAAAUCUAUUUUCUUUAUUUUUUAUAUUGAAUUUUAAGUUUAAGUGAAAAUGCUUAAAUAUUAUUAAAAGACGAGAAGACCCUAUAGAUUUUUAUUAUUUAAAUGAGUUUUAUAUUUUUAUUUAUUAUGAUAAUUUAAUUGGGGCGAUUUUAUAAAAUUAAAAACUUAAAUAUUUUUAACCAUAGAUGAUUGAAUUUUUUGAUCUAAAAAUUUUAAAGAAAAGAUUAAAUUACCUUAGGGAUAACAGCGUAAUUUUAUUUAAGAGUUCAUAUCUAUAAUAAAGGUUGCGACCUCGAUGUUGAAUUAAGAUAAUUUAUUGGAGUAGAAAUUAAUAUAAUUAGUCUGUUCGACUAUUAAAUUCU